GAUGAACGCUGGCGGCGUGCCUAAUACAUGCAAGUAGAACGCUGAAGGAGGAGCUUGCUCUUCUGGAUGAGUUGCGAACGGGUUAGUAACGCGUAGGUAACCUGCCUGGUAGCGGGGGAUAACUAUUGGAAACGAUAGCUAAUACCGCAUGACAACAGUUAUUGCAUGAUAACUGUUUAAAAGGGGCAACUGCUCCACUACCAGAUGGACCUGCGUUGUAUUAGCUAGUUGGUGAGGUAACGGCUCACCAAGGCGACGAUACAUAGCCGACCUGAGAGGGUGAUCGGCCACACUGGGACUGAGACACGGCCCAGACUCCUACGGGAGGCAGCAGUAGGGAAUCUUCGGCAAUGGACGGAAGGCUGACCGAGCAACGCCGCGUGAGUGAAGAAGGUUUUCGGAUCGUAAAGCUCUGUUGUAAGAGAAGAACGAGUGUGAGAGUGGAAAGUUCACACUGUGACGGUAUCUUACCAGAAAGGGACGGCUAACUACGUG
rnacentral:rRNA from 1 species